UUAAGCGACUAAGCGUACACGGUGGAUGCCCUGGCAGUCAGAGGCGAUGAAGGACGUGCUAAUCUGCGAUAAGCGUCGGUAAGGUGAUAUGAACCGUUAUAACCGGCGAUUUCCGAAUGGGGAAACCCAGUGUGUUUCGACACACUAUCAUUAACUGAAUCCAUAGGUUAAUGAGGCGAACCGGGGGAACUGAAACAUCUAAGUACCCCGAGGAAAAGAAAUCAACCGAGAUUCCCCCAGUAGCGGCGAGCGAACGGGGAGCAGCCCAGAGCCUGAAUCAGUGUGUGUGUUAGUGGAAGCGUCUGGAAAGGCGCGCGAUACAGGGUGACAGCCCCGUACACAAAAAUGCACAUGCUGUGAGCUCGAUGAGUAGGGCGGGACACGUGGUAUCCUGUCUGAAUAUGGGGGGACCAUCCUCCAAGGCUAAAUACUCCUGACUGACCGAUAGUGAACCAGUACCGUGAGGGAAAGGCGAAAAGAACCCCGGCGAGGGGAGUGAAAAAGAACCUGAAACCGUGUACGUACAAGCAGUGGGAGCACGCUUAGGCGUGUGACUGCGUACCUUUUGUAUAAUGGGUCAGCGACUUAUAUUCUGUAGCAAGGUUAACCGAAUAGGGGAGCCGAAGGGAAACCGAGUCUUAACUGGGCGUUAAGUUGCAGGGUAUAGACCCGAAACCCGGUGAUCUAGCCAUGGGCAGGUUGAAGGUUGGGUAACACUAACUGGAGGACCGAACCGACUAAUGUUGAAAAAUUAGCGGAUGACUUGUGGCUGGGGGUGAAAGGCCAAUCAAACCGGGAGAUAGCUGGUUCUCCCCGAAAGCUAUUUAGGUAGCGCCUCGUGAAUUCAUCUCCGGGGGUAGAGCACUGUUUCGGCAAGGGGGUCAUCCCGACUUACCAACCCGAUGCAAACUGCGAAUACCGGAGAAUGUUAUCACGGGAGACACACGGCGGGUGCUAACGUCCGUCGUGAAGAGGGAAACAACCCAGACCGCCAGCUAAGGUCCCAAAGUCAUGGUUAAGUGGGAAACGAUGUGGGAAGGCCCAGACAGCCAGGAUGUUGGCUUAGAAGCAGCCAUCAUUUAAAGAAAGCGUAAUAGCUCACUGGUCGAGUCGGCCUGCGCGGAAGAUGUAACGGGGCUAAACCAUGCACCGAAGCUGCGGCAGCGACGCUUAUGCGUUGUUGGGUAGGGGAGCGUUCUGUAAGCCUGCGAAGGUGUGCUGUGAGGCAUGCUGGAGGUAUCAGAAGUGCGAAUGCUGACAUAAGUAACGAUAAAGCGGGUGAAAAGCCCGCUCGCCGGAAGACCAAGGGUUCCUGUCCAACGUUAAUCGGGGCAGGGUGAGUCGACCCCUAAGGCGAGGCCGAAAGGCGUAGUCGAUGGGAAACAGGUUAAUAUUCCUGUACUUGGUGUUACUGCGAAGGGGGGACGGAGAAGGCUAUGUUGGCCGGGCGACGGUUGUCCCGGUUUAAGCGUGUAGGCUGGUUUUCCAGGCAAAUCCGGAAAAUCAAGGCUGAGGCGUGAUGACGAGGCACUACGGUGCUGAAGCAACAAAUGCCCUGCUUCCAGGAAAAGCCUCUAAGCAUCAGGUAACAUCAAAUCGUACCCCAAACCGACACAGGUGGUCAGGUAGAGAAUACCAAGGCGCUUGAGAGAACUCGGGUGAAGGAACUAGGCAAAAUGGUGCCGUAACUUCGGGAGAAGGCACGCUGAUAUGUAGGUGAAGUCCCUCGCGGAUGGAGCUGAAAUCAGUCGAAGAUACCAGCUGGCUGCAACUGUUUAUUAAAAACACAGCACUGUGCAAACACGAAAGUGGACGUAUACGGUGUGACGCCUGCCCGGUGCCGGAAGGUUAAUUGAUGGGGUCAGCGCAAGCGAAGCUCUUGAUCGAAGCCCCGGUAAACGGCGGCCGUAACUAUAACGGUCCUAAGGUAGCGAAAUUCCUUGUCGGGUAAGUUCCGACCUGCACGAAUGGCGUAAUGAUGGCCAGGCUGUCUCCACCCGAGACUCAGUGAAAUUGAACUCGCUGUGAAGAUGCAGUGUACCCGCGGCAAGACGGAAAGACCCCGUGAACCUUUACUAUAGCUUGACACUGAACAUUGAGCCUUGAUGUGUAGGAUAGGUGGGAGGCUUUGAAGUGUGGACGCCAGUCUGCAUGGAGCCGACCUUGAAAUACCACCCUUUAAUGUUUGAUGUUCUAACGUUGACCCGUAAUCCGGGUUGCGGACAGUGUCUGGUGGGUAGUUUGACUGGGGCGGUCUCCUCCUAAAGAGUAACGGAGGAGCACGAAGGUUGGCUAAUCCUGGUCGGACAUCAGGAGGUUAGUGCAAUGGCAUAAGCCAGCUUGACUGCGAGCGUGACGGCGCGAGCAGGUGCGAAAGCAGGUCAUAGUGAUCCGGUGGUUCUGAAUGGAAGGGCCAUCGCUCAACGGAUAAAAGGUACUCCGGGGAUAACAGGCUGAUACCGCCCAAGAGUUCAUAUCGACGGCGGUGUUUGGCACCUCGAUGUCGGCUCAUCACAUCCUGGGGCUGAAGUAGGUCCCAAGGGUAUGGCUGUUCGCCAUUUAAAGUGGUACGCGAGCUGGGUUUAGAACGUCGUGAGACAGUUCGGUCCCUAUCUGCCGUGGGCGCUGGAGAACUGAGGGGGGCUGCUCCUAGUACGAGAGGACCGGAGUGGACGCAUCACUGGUGUUCGGGUUGUCAUGCCAAUGGCACUGCCCGGUAGCUAAAUGCGGAAGAGAUAAGUGCUGAAAGCAUCUAAGCACGAAACUUGCCCCGAGAUGAGUUCUCCCUGACUCCUUGAGAGUCCUGAAGGAACGUUGAAGACGACGACGUUGAUAGGCCGGGUGUGUAAGCGCAGCGAUGCGUUGAGCUAACCGGUACUAAUGAACCGUGAGGCUUAACCU
rnacentral:rRNA from 1 species